CCAGCAGGGUAGGUUGUAGAGGCUUGGCCAGCAGGGUAGGUUGUAGAGGCUUGGCCAGCAGGGUAGGUUGUAGAGGCUUGGCCAGCAGGGUAGGUUGUAGAGGCUUGGCCAGCAGGGUAGGUUGUAGAGGCUUGGCCAGCAGGGUAGGUUGUAGAGGCUUGGCCAGCAGGGUAGGUUGUAGAGGCUUGGUCAGCAGGGUAGGUUGUAGAGGCUUGGCCAGCAGGGUAGGUUGUAGAGGCUUGGCCAGCAGGGUAGGUUGUAGAGGCUUGGCCAGCAGGGUAGGUUGUAGAGGCUUGGCCAGCAGGGUAGGUUGUAGAGGCUUGGCCAGCAGGGUAGGUUGUAGAGGCUUGGCCAGCAGGGUAGGUUGUAGAGGCUUGGCCAGCAGGGUAGGUUGUAGAGGCUUGGCCAGCAGGGUAGGUUAGAGAGGCUUGGCCAGCAGGGUAGAUUAGA